AUUCAUCUGGUGCGUAAGGGAUGAAAGCGGCAUCCUUUAUUUUCUUUCUUUAAGAAAAUAAAGAUACAGCGGACAGCCCGACCCGAA
rnacentral:sRNA from 1 species